UGGGGAAUUUUGGACAAUGGGCGAAAGCCUGAUCCAGCAAUGCCGCGUGUGUGAAGAAGGCCUUCGGGUUGUAAAGCACUUUUGUCCGGAAAGAAAUCCUUGGCUCUAAUACAGCCGGGGGAUGACGGUACCGGAAGAAUAAGCACCGGCUAACUACGUGCCAGCAGCCGCGGUAAUACGUAGGGUGCAAGCGUUAAUCGGAAUUACUGGGCGUAAAGCGUGCGCAGGCGGUUUGCUAAGACCGAUGUGAAAUCCCCGGGCUCAACCUGGGAACUGCAUUGGUGACUGGCAGGCUAGAGUAUGGCAGAGGGGGGUAGAAUUCCACGUGUAGCAGUGAAAUGCGUAGAGAUGUGGAGGAAUACCGAUGGCGAAGGCAGCCCCCUGGGCCAAUACUGACGCUCAUGCACGAAAGCGUGGGGAGCAAACAGGAUUAGAUACCCUGGUAGUCCACGCCCUAAACGAUGUCAACUAGUUGUUGGGGAUUCAUUUCCUUAGUAACGUAGCUAACGCGUGAAGUUGACCGCCUGGGGAGUACGGUCGCAAGAUUA
rnacentral:rRNA from 1 species